rnacentral:rRNA from 1 species
AGAGUUUGAUCCUGGCUCAGAACGAACGCUGGCGGCAGGCUUAACACAUGCAAGUCGAACGAACUGAGUCCUUCGGGACUCUAUGUUAGUGGCGCACGGGUGAGUAACGCGUGGGAACGUACCCUUUAGUACGGAAUAACUGAGGGAAACUUCAGCUAAUACCGUAUGACUCCUUCGGGAGAAAGAUUUAUCGCUAAAGGAUCGGCCCGCGUCAGAUUAGGUAGUUGGUGAGGUAACGGCUCACCAAGCCGACGAUCUGUAGCUGGUCUGAGAGGAUGAUCAGCCACACUGGGACUGAGACACGGCCCAGACUCCUACGGGAGGCAGCAGUGGGGAAUAUUGGACAAUGGGGGCAACCCUGAUCCAGCCAUGCCGCGUGAGUGAAGAAGGCCUUCGGGUUGUAAAGCUCUUUCGAUGGGGACGAUGAUGACGGUACCCAUAUAAGAAGCCCCGGCUAACUUCGUGCCAGCAGCCGCGGUAAUACGAAGGGGGCUAGCGUUGUUCGGAAUUACUGGGCGUAAAGCGCGCGUAGGCGGUGAUCUUUGUCAGAGGUGAAAGCCCGGGGCUCAACUCCGGAAUUGCCUUUGAAACGGGAUCGCUAGAGUCCGAGAGAGGAUGGCGGAAUUCCUAGUGUAGAGGUGAAAUUCGUAGAUAUUAGGAAGAACACCGGGCGAAGGCGGCCAUCUGGCUCGGUACUGACGCUCAGGCGCGAAAGCGUGGGGAGCAAACAGGAUUAGAUACCCUAGUAGUCC